rnacentral:lncRNA from 1 species
CAAAUUAAGCAGCAGCGAAUCGUGUGUUCAAGUACAAGGCAAAGUCAGGCAAGCAAAGCGUACGGGUCCAGAUGACGUGCAUGCUCGUUGUCUUGUAGAUCCAGUCCUGAAGUUUCAGCAGAUUUAUUUUUAAGAAGGAACGAGUAAUCCGGUUUACAUGUGGCAGAAUUUGGUGAAACAAAAAUAUCUAUUAAAAAAAUCACGUUGCUGAAGUGCUAUCUCAUCUUCGUCUUUUGACCCUGAUUCCGUACUCACUGGGGUUACUUGAACCGGGUGUUUUUGUGAAGUUGUGUUCAUCGUGUUCCCCCGGCUAAUCAAGAACUCGGCAGGAUGAGUCAUGAGUCAGGAAUUAGGUAUUACGAUGUACGGUUACUCAAUGACAAACACGUAUCAAACAGUUUUGAUUAACUCAAAACUAUUUGCGACCAUUCAAAAAGAGAACUCAAAAUUGUUUGUGGUAUCUCUACGACUUGAAAACGUCACAAAAAGAUGAUGCAUCUUAUCGAUCACACUCACAAACGUAACACACCACAAAUCGACUCACUCAAGCCCGUGCAGUCGGUACCAUCCGCAAAAGCAGCAUCCUGAUCCUAAUCUCAAAUCCCUAAUCACCCACUAGGGUCUCAUCAUUUCUUCAAAGAGAGAAAUGAUGACGAUAAUAACGAAAGCUAAAAACGACACCGGCCGGCACAGCAACCGUGGAUCACCACCACAUCGAUCCCUCCCCCACGCGCACAGUGCCGCGCGUACAAUUAUUCAGGAAAGCGACGUGAUGAUAUCGUCGUCGCGAUCAAACCCGAUCGAUCGAUCCACAUACCGCCUCCGGGCCGCGGGCCACGGCCACGGCUCAGAUC